rnacentral:rRNA from 1 species
UGGGGAAUAUUGCACAAUGGGGGAAACCCGUGAUGCAGCGACGCCGCGUGGGUGAAGAAAUGUUUCGGCAUGUAAAGCCCUAUCAGCAGGGAAGAAAAUGACGGUACCUGACUAAGAAGCCCCGGCUAACUACGUGCC